rnacentral:lncRNA from 11 species
GAAAUACAGAGACCUGCCAAGUGCAUGAUUUUCCUCUAUUGCUUUACCUGCUUCCAGGAAUUAGAAAUUAAUCAAUAUAAAUCUUUGGAUCUGGAAAAUUUCAAGCACAUAUUCAAGAAAUGCAUGGGAUCACAGAAUGUAAAUGAUGAACAAUUAGAAGAACUUUUCAUGAAAAUUGACUAUUCUGCAACUGGCAGAAUUAAGUGGCAUGAUUUCUGCACCUACAUGCAUCUGGAAUAUGCUGAACAGGACAGAUUCUCGAGUCGUCUGAAAAGAGUUGACUUCUCACUUCCAGCGGAAAUAAAGGAGAUCCCACAUGGAGAACCUGUGCUACACAUUUGCUCACUGUCAGACAGCACCCUCAUAACAGCCAGAGAAGAUGGAAAUAUUUCUUUCUGGUCACCAGAACUCAAGCUAAAACGAAGCAAGAUGGUUUUCGUACGUCAUCUGUUUUUCCUGCAAGAGCUUUCAAAAUUGUUUAUUCUUUAGGGCUGCAUCUACCUGGUAGAAUGAAUGCAGUUUGACAGAACUUUAUUUGCUAUGGCUCAAUGCUAUGGAAUCCUGGGAUUUGUAGUUUGGUGAGGCAUCUACACUCUUUGUCAGAGAAUCAUAGAGUUGGAAGAGACCUCGUGGGCCAUCCAGUCCAACCCCCUGCCAAGAAGCAGGAAAAUAGCAUUGAAGGCUACAGACCUUCUAUGAUUCCAUAACAAGAUGCCAUAGCUAUUGAACUGGCCUCAAACUGUAUUAAUUCUACAAUGCAGAUGUAGAUUCUGUGUAAGCUGAGAUUUCAAAAGAUCUUCUUGCUUCCUUGAUAAUUAAUAUCUGUGGUUUAAAUAGUCCCAGUUAGGGCAGAUCCACUAUGUCAAUGGAGUAAACGAGUGUGUUUACUUACCAAACUUCCUUGAAUGCAAUGCUUUUACUUUAGUUGAGGUUUGACAAUUGGAUUUCGGUUCAUGGCUUCGCUCUUUGGGACAAUGGUGAGAAACAUGAAAUCUUCUAAGCUCCUCUGUUGCUAAAAAUGUUUUAAUGGCACCCAAAUUCGCUGUCAUACAGUUGCAUCUAUAUGCCAUAUAAUGCAUGUCUCUAUCUAACUGUAGAGACAUUUUAGAAACCUUAUAUCCCAAAUAUUUUACCUUUCUGAGAUUGUUAUAUUUGUGAAAAUUGUUUCAUAUUAAUAUAAAAAUCUCUUCUUCAUGAAAAUCUCCCUUUCCUUAUCUCUCUUUUCUUAAUAGUUGGCCCUAAAUGAUUUUUCUAUCAUUUGUUAUUAUAGAAUGGCAACCUAUAACUUCCUUUUGUUAUUUUUAAGGAUAAAACUCACAAAAGAUCAAAAUGGCUUAUGGAUUUCACUGUUAUGAUUCCGUACAAUAAAUUAAUACUGGCAACUGGGUAAGUUUCUCACAUACAAUAACAAAAACAAAAACCUUUGUCAAGAUUUCUUUUAUCCACAACUUAACUGAGAAAAGUUCCAUUAUGAAACAGUUUGGAAACUUGGAUGGAAUUCGAGAGACAGGACUAUGACAAAA